rnacentral:rRNA from 1 species
UAGGUGUAGGCGUAGCGAAAGCGAGUCUUAAUAGGGCGCAUGAGUUCGUGGGAUCAGACCCGAAACCGAGUGAUCUAGGCAUGGCCAGGUUGAAGGUGACGUAACAGUCACUGGAGGACCGAACCGACUUCUGUUGAAAAAGGAGCGGAUGAGCUGUGCCUAGGGGUGAAAGGCCAAUCAAACUCGGAGAUAGCUGGUUCUCCGCGAAAACUAUUUAGGUAGUGCGUCUGGUAUUACCGCCGGGGGUAGAGCACUGAAUGGGCUAGGGGGGCGCGAGCCUUACCAAACCUAAUCAAACUCCGAAUACCGGUGAGUACUGCGCGGGAGUCAGACUGCGGGUGAUAAGAUCCGUGGUCGAGAGGGAAACAACCCAGACCGCCGGCUAAGGUCCCUAAAUCAUUGCUGAGUGGGAAAGGAAGUGAGAGCGCUUAGACAACCAGGAUGUCUGCUUCUAAGC